AUACCAUGUCCUAAGGAGUGAUUUUACAAUGGCUGUAUGGUGAUAGGAGACGAUUUACACUCUUUUGGAAGCCAAGCGAAGACAUAAGCAGAGCGGUGACAAGAAGUUCAAAUCAGAAAUGGCGUUUUGUUCAAAAAAUGAACUCUGUACAACUUUGUAGGUAUAGGAAAGAGUAGUAGACAUUAAGUUGAAAAUGGCGUCUAAUUCAGAAGACGAUGAAUUACGACGGCGUGAGUAUGGAUUCCUUGUCAUUUGUAGAAGAAUGGAUAAACAUUGAUGAUAUUGAUAUUUCUUAAUAUUCAAAUUAUUUUUAUUGGAUUUUCCGGCUGGACACUAGCAAUAAUCAUUGACAAUCCAUGAUGACUUUUGUAAUCGUCGCAUCAUUAUCGCUUCAAGGAAAAUCAUACUGAAUAUAACUAUCAUGCAGGGCAAUGCUCAUGAACUUAAACUACUUCCACUUCUUCUGGCCACAAUAGGAGAUUCUCUUGAAGUUGUGAUCAGAACUCUUAGGAAUACAUUAUAUAUAUAAUAUCCAUAUAGUAUUACAGUCGCCCGCUUGCUAAAAUAUGCUUUGGAGAACACGGUUGUGCUCCAGAAUGUUUUUUGUAAGAUGUCCACGUCCCAAGUAACAACGGAACACUAGUUAAGUUCAAUGCCUUUACUACGGAAUGAAAUAUUUUCGAUAUACUAGAAACUGACAUGUGAAAAGAGUUGGAAACUGUUUCAAAGAUAUUUCAGUAUUCACUUUAACCAAGAACAACAGUAAUGCAUCCUCGUGUUUAAAUACCAGUGACAAUAGAGACCGAACAAUGUGAAAGUAUUUCUAGAAACUUUGCUCUUUUCCAACAUUCAAGACUUUCCGGUCUUUUACACUUCUCUUUCAUCAGUGCGAAUUUCAACGUGAGGGUCAACACCUUUUCUCUGAUAGGUUGAUACAAACAAAUCCGUCAGGACCAAGGACACUGCAGUUUAUAAACAAUGAGAUUUGGCUAUAUAGGGCAUAUUCUUGCAAAAUUUGUUUAGUCACUAUAGGUCAUGUAAUGCUUCGUAUUUAGCGUUCUAAUUAUAAUCAACA